GAUGAACGCUGGCGGCGUGCCUAAUACAUGCAAGUCGAGCGAACGGACGAGAAGCUUGCUUCUCUGAUGUUAGCGGCGGACGGGUGAGUAACACGUGGAUAACCUACCUAUAAGACUGGGAUAACUUCGGGAAACCUUAGCUAAUACCGGAUAAUAUUUUGAACCGCAUGGUUCAAAAGUGAACGACGGUCUUGCUGUCACUUAUAGAUGGAUCCGCGCUGCAUUAGCUAGUUGGUAAGGUAACGGCUUACCAAGGCAACGAUGCAUAGCCGACCUGAGAGGGUGAUCGGCCACACUGGAACUGAGACACGGUCCAGACUCCUACGGGAGGCAGCAGUAGGGAAUCUUCCGCAAUGGGCGAAAGCCUGACGGAGCCACGCCGCGUGAGUGAUGAAGGUCUUCGGAUCGUAAAACUCUGUUAUUAGGGAAGAACAUCUGUGUAAGUAACUGUGCACAUCUUGACGGUACCUAAUCAGAAAGCCACGGCUAACUACGUG
rnacentral:rRNA from 1 species